UAAUGGUAUUUUCGCUGUGAAAAUAUCUCCAUACCCAGCUUUAUUGAAGUCAUCUGCCUCAUUCAAAUCAUUUGAAUAUCUCUUCCCCUUACAACUGAUUAAAAGCAGAGAGAGCAAACCAAUCCCGGCAUCAAUCUGGUAUUUUGGCAUCUGGGAUGAGGCUUACAGCUAAUAACUUGUAUCAUUGUAUGGGUUGGCAUCCCAAUCGUCCCGUCGGUUUGAUCGAUUUUGAGUCCUUGAUCUUACUCUGAAGAAGAAGAAGAAGAAGAAUCACCCAGAUAGACACUGAGAAAGUUUUGAGUUUGCUUUGCUGCCAUUUUGUGGAUGCAUGUCAAUGUCAUCUUCUUCGAAACCAAGCAUCAAUUCGAUCUGAAUUGGAUCCUUCUGCUGUAAAUUUAGGAUCUUUGAAUACCUGUUCAUGAAUUACAUUGGAUUUUUUUUUUUUUUUUGAGGCCCUUCCUUUAUACCUUGAUGAAAUCUUUCACCGCCGUUUUGCUGUCUGUAACAUUUGUUCUAAUCUUCAGAGAGGUAUGUUGCCUACUCGAUUUAUCUUGAGAUGCAAUGGGAUAUUGGGAUUGCGAUUGACUUGUGACUUGCCAUUCACAAGCUAUAUAUAUGCUCAAGAUAUGUAUGGGCUUUCUGUUGGCUUGUUCGCAUUCUGAUGAUCAUCUGCUAUCCAAUCGCCGCCUACCCAAUUGGAAAAGUGGGAUACCAUUGCCAAUAUUUUCUGAAUGGUGGCUGUUCAAUGACAAGUUUUCAGCAAUCGAUUCAUUUGUCCUAUCAUCAUUUCUUGGUGCAAUGUUCCAGGGAAUGAAUGGCUUGAGUGUUAAAUAUCAGGUUCUUGAUCUUGUACUUGGACAUGGAGAUGAUUUGUUCAGGCUAGCACAGUCGAAAGCCCUCGUCUCUAUUCACGACCUUGAGGCUGGAAAGGGAGGUGAACUAACACAUGACAACGAUUACAGUGGAGCGCUAGAUUUAACUGAAAAGACUGCCAAGGAGGCUAUGACACCUAUUGAAUGAAGAUUGUGCUUGGAUGUUGAUUCAAAGUUAGACUGGGUGCAAUGGGGAAAAUUCUUGCACGUGUUAGAAUGUGUUGCUAAGCUUGUAGGAAAGGGUGCUUUAGCUGAAGGAGACAAGAUCACCUUAGAAACUGCAAAGCUGUUGAGAGAGAAUUCUCUCGCGCAGGAUGCAUUUACUCCGUAAGUUCCUCAUUUAAUCUUUUCUUUGAUGCAUAUCUACUUUUCACUUUGGUUGGGAUUAUUAGUCACUAAUGAUCAUUUACCUGUUGUAAGGGUGGACAGAUAUGAGAAAUUCUGCCCUUUCUAGUCUGUUUGGAUGAUGCAGAAUAUCAUCCAUUUCUUUAAUUUAGCAAAUCAGGUGAACUAUUCUGUUCAAAUCGUUUCUUAUAUGACCUACCAUUAUGUUUGAAGAAUUCAUGUCUAUUUAGGUUGAAGCAUUUUAGGGCAAGGAAAACAGAUAAUAUUGUCUUUCCCGGUCUUCUUUCUGGGAACCAAUCCCAGAAAGGUGCAACUUCAUUAGAUGUGACCCAAAGGAUUUCUUUGCCAUAAUACCGAAAAGGUGGCCGUUGUGACACAAUUUAUCAUUCUGAAGACCCAGUGCGGAUGAAAUCCAAGUCUGAACAUUAUAGCCUCCAAGAAACACCACUCAACCCUAUCAUAAGCCUUGGCCAUGUCAACUUUAUUAGAUGUUUAAUUAGAUAAGUGAAGGUAUCAUGUUUAAUUAGAGAGAGCAGCUGAUAUGGAUGAUCAAAAGAUCAAUUAUAGUAUAAUUGAGCACCGUAUAGGAGAUCUCUUUUACCGUCUAAUGUAAGUGACAUCAUAAUGCUGAACAUUUUAAUAUUUUAUGGUAAGCACGUCUUUAAUCCCAUACUGGUGAUACGCUGGUCUAAAAAUUUGAGGAACCUGCUGAAGGCGAACUAGCUCUUGUGGCAAAAUUUAAGAAGCUACACGAUUACUUGACGAUUUGAGGAUGUAACUCGAUGAUUGGACUUAGACAUUUUCUAGAUGGUUCUAGUUGCUGUUAUAAAUUGCAUGGUGAUGACAAUUGGAGUUACUGUGGUUUUUGUUGUGCAUGAAAAAAGGCAGUGUUAGGUUUUUGUGACGCCAUUUUUGCUUUACUUAUGUGGCGGUUGCUCUAGUUUGGAUGUGUAGUUUCAAUGAUUGUAUUCAUGUCACUCCCUUCAGGUUUUUACCCAGAAUAAGAGACUAGAUAUAUUUAAGCAAUACGGCAUUCAAGAUUUUUUCAUUUUUGAUGAAUCUUUUUUGCCUCUAUAUCUUCGUCUUCGACAGAAAAAUUAACAUCGUUAAACUGGGGAAAAACCAAAAAAUAAGGAAUUUCACAGAACUUGACCUGCAUUCCAACAAUUGUAGUCAACUUUGAAAACAAGUAUACCGUGGGUGUCAAACUGAUGUUUGGGUAUGGGUUGUUGGAUGAGCCAUUUGUGAAAUUAGGUCAAAAUAAAAGAAAAAUGCCCAAGUUGCGCUAUUUGAGAGUAGGCAGAGCACUCUUAGAUUUGACUAGCAAAAGCGCCCACGCUAUUGCCGCGGAAUUGUUGUUAACAUUUUUGUAUGUACGGCUCUGGAUGAGUUCAUACAAUCAGUUGAAACAAAACAAUAAGUUGAAUGUAGUCACUCGUCAAGAUCAAGAGACUGGCCAUAAUGCUAACAAAAGGCAUGCAGAAAACUAAUGUAUGGCACAGAUCUAAGGGUAUAUGCAUACAAUGAUUCUAUUCUUGGGAAAUGUUGUUCACUGCUUGAAGAAAAAGAACAAUCAAAUGGUCCAUAAAAUUGAUUUGACAAAAAGUUAACCAAUGUGAAAUUGAAAUCAGCAUUACCACUUCAGGAUCAAGCAUCGUCACAAACUCACAAUACAGUCAUUUCAAACUUGAGGUGCUUGCGUGUGUUAGAUCUGCAUAACUUAAGAAUUGAUGAGCUUAGGCAAGUUGACCCAUCUUAGGUACCUUGAUGAGCUUAGGCAAGUUGACUCGUAUUAAUAGGCAUAUAAGGAAUUUGUGCGAUCCAUAUAAUCGAAUUUAGAAAUCGAUAAAUUUGAGAUUUUCCAUGUACUUAUAGCGUAUUAUUAGGUACUAUGUAAAAAAAUUAACUUGAUUCGCCGUUAUUUCGACAUCAAACAAAGCGGUCAACCAUAUACAUACCUAAACAUCCCUAAUGAGAGCUGAAUGACGAGGAGAUAAAUUUUCCGAAAUUUUUACAUUAGCUUAUGUAGCUCAUACCCACAAGGGUGUGAGAGCUGACAUAUCAAAAAAAUAAGUUGUAUAUGAGUGGUUUUGCGCAUAUUAGUUUUAUAUGUAUUUAGGGUUCAUGGUUGACCUCAUAGAUCGAGACCCAAACGACAACGAAAAUAGUUGAAAUUUUGAUCGUAACUACUUCUUCUUGUCAUGAUAACAUCCAACAGUCGAAUUUGAUAAAUUCUAAUUCCUUCACCUUGUUGGUUAUGGAAGAUAUACUUCUCCAUAUAACUAACAAAUAAGUUAAAGACUAUAUUAGUAGGCAUGUGAGGAUUUUGUGCGAUCCAUAUAAUCGAACUUAGAAAUAGAUAAAUUUGAGACUUCCGAUGUACUUAAAGCGUAUUAAUAGAUACUGUGUAAAAAAGUUAACCCGAUCCGCCUUCAUUUCGGCAUCGAAUAAAGCGGUCAACCCUUUAUAUGCUUAUACAUCCCUAAGGAGAGCUGAAUCACGAGGACAUAAAUUUUCUAAAAUUUUUAUAUUAGUUUAUGUAGCUCAUACCUAUGAGUGUGUGAGAGCUGACAGAUCGAAAAAAUAAGUUGUGUAUGAGGGGUUACCCGCAUAUUAGUUUUAUAUGUAUUUAAGGUUUAAGGUUGACCACGUAGAUCGAGACCCAAACGACGACGAAAAUAGCUUAAAUUUUGACCAUAACCGUAUCUUCUUAUUAUGAUAACAUCCAACGGCCAAUUUUGAUAAAUUAUAUUUCCUUCACCAUGUUUCUCUUGGAAGGUAUAAUUUUGUAACACACCUAAUAAACAAAUUAGACCACAUUACUAGGCAUAUAAGAAUUUUUUGCGAUCUAAAACUCUGUAACUGGAAAUAUGUAAAUUUGAGAUUACCCAUCUAUUUAUAGCAUUUCAAUUAGUAUUGUGUAAAAAAAUUAACCCGAUCCGCCGUCAAUUCGACAUCAAACAAAGCGGUCAACUCUUUAUAUACUUAUACUUCCCUAAGGGGAGCUAUACCAGGAUGAGAUAAGCUUCUAGAAAUUUUUACAUUAGUUUAUAUAUCACAUACCCACGAGAGUGUGAGAGCUGAUGGAUCGAAAAAAUAAUUUAGUAAUUUGCUGAUAAUUUAUGUGGUAUUUAACGAGAGUGUGAGAGCUGAUGGAUCGAAAAAAUAAAUUGCUCACCUAAUAAACAAGUUAUACUACAUUACUAAACAUAUGAGGAUUUUGCUGACACCCGAGCUAUUUAUUACGAUUUUUCAAAGUUUCAGAAUUUUAAAAAUUAUUUAUGUAUAAUAUUCUCAAAAAUAUAUAAAUUAUUUAUUAGAAAAUAAUUUUCAAAAGAUGUGAUCUGGACCGUUAAUAGAAAUUAUAUAUAUGAGGCUGUAAAUACCAAGAUUACCUUUCAAAUUUUAUUUGGGCGGUAAGCUCAAAUUUUAGUAUUUCGCCAAAUUUUGCGCGAAAAAUUUUGGACAAUUGGUACAUCUCCACCGUCUCCGUCGAACAUGUCCACCUUGUAAAUCUUGAUCAUCGAUCAAGGCUGUUUUGUUGCAAUUGAAGCCGAAGCCGGCGAAUCAGAAGAAGCCCUUGAUCUCAGACCAAUUUAGACUCGAUCCUUCAAUGUCCAGUACUUGGCGAUUACUGUCGCCUCAAUAUGAAUUUCGAUUGAUUUGGAAAUUGGCAUCGUUUUGGUUAGCUUUUGCCUGUUGCUUUUUAUGGUUGUUUUCUGCAACAAGUAUUACUUUUGGUAAAUUAUGUUGGGAUUCAGGUUUUGGUUAUGUUUGAUUAUUAUUGGGUUUUGAUGCUGUUCUUGAAAUCUCAUGUUUGGUUGCUGGGAAAUUGAAGCAGGACAAGAAGAGAGAAGAAAAUGCAGUGAACCUUUUUUGGUUGUUAGUUUGAGUUUAUUAUGCAAGUCUAUUGGUUUUACUGUUAUUUCUUAUGUUGCUUGAAGAUUAUUAGUUUGAUUAUUGAGUUGGUAGUGCUAUAGGAAUUUUAGAUUGCCGUACUGAUGAGUUUAGGAUUUGACAGGAGAGGAAUACCAGUUUGAAGAAUUUGUGCAGGCGGAUUCCAAACUUCGCUCCCCAGAAGCAGGAGGUCCAAAACAUCACAGUGCACUCCCACUGGUACUGCAUUGCUCAGACUUGUUUGGUUUACAAUAGCAAUCCUAAGCUUGAUGUCAACUAUUCUGCCGUGGAAAACUGAAGUUAUCUCGAAGAAAGUAGUCAUUGCACUUGGCAAGAGUGUAGCUGGAAGUAUCAAAGAGUAAGUUCAGAGUAUGGCAUAGGAAUGGAGGUGUCAACAAGUGGUGACAUCUAUAGCUAUGAAAUCCUGCUAUUUGAGAUGCUGAUAGGCAAGAGAUUGAUAUAUGACAUGUUUAAAGACGACCUGAACUUGCAUAAAUUUGUCAAAUAAGGCUUUGGCCUCCUUAUCCUAUUGGAUGGUGAUCAGAGCUGAGUCUUCUAGCCAUCCCAGCCAGCUUUUGAGCAACAGCACUUGGAGCCUAUUAUUGAAGUGGAGCUUUUGAACGAGCACAUGGACACUAUUGAAGAGGUUUGACAUUGUACGACUGGCUUUGAUUAUCCAACAAGAUGCUACCAGUCUACUUUGUUCUUGGGAUUUUAUGAUCUGUACCUAAAAUUAUGCCUGACCGGGACGGCUAGAAGACUGGGCUCUGAUCAAGAUGCUACCAGUAGACUUUGUUUGUGGGAUUUUGUGAUUUUUACUAAUUUUGAAUGCUAUGGAAACUUCUCUAAGUAUAUCAUGUCUUUAUUCAUUUGAAAUUCAGCUUCACCCAACCAUUCAAUUACACUGCUCAAUCUCAUCA